CAGUAGCCACGGUAAUACGGAGGGUGCAAGCGUUAUCCGGAUUCACUGGGUUUAAAGGGUGCGUAGGCGGGCAGGUAAGUCAGUGGUGAAAUCUUCGAGCUUAACUCGGAAACUGCCGUUGAUACUAUCUGUCUUGAAUAACGUUGAGGUGAGCGGAAUAUGUCAUGUAGCGGUGAAAUGCUUAGAUAUAACAUAGAACACCGAUUGCGAAGGCAGCUCACUAAACGCUCAUUGACGCUGAGGCACGAAAGCGUGGGGAUCAAACAGGAUUAGAUACCCGUGUAGUCCCUGUCUCUUAUAC
rnacentral:rRNA from 1 species